rnacentral:rRNA from 1 species
CAGCAGCCGCGGUAAUACGUAGGGUGCAAGCGUUAAUCGGAAUUACUGGGCGUAAAGCGUGCGCAGGCGGUUAUAUAAGACAGAUGUGAAAUCCCCGGGCUCAACCUGGGAACUGCAUUUGUGACUGUAUAGCUAGAGUACGGCAGAGGGGGAUGGAAUUCCGCGUGUAGCAGUGAAAUGCGUAGAUAUUCGGAGGAACACCGAUGGCGAAGGCAAUCCCCUGGGCCUGUACUGACGCUCAUGCACGAAAGCGUGGGGAGCAAACAGGAUUAGAUACCCGAGUAGUCCCUGUCUCUUAUAC